AAAAUUAUCCCUGAUAUUAUGAUCUGUGUUUUUUUUUUUUUUUCAUAAUUCUUUCUUUAGCUUUUUUUCAUCAAUAAAUUAAUAAAUACAAAUGUAACCUUUAUUAAUGCUGUUUGGGACUUAAAUAUGAAUAUUUGUUUUAGGGGAAAUAUAAUGUCAUUUUCUUAAUAUUUCUUUAUUGUAUUUUACAGAUGCAUAGCAUUAAAGACCUUGUUUGAAAAAUGUCAUAAGAUAUGGGUUUAUGUAUAGUUUUCUUAAAGCAUUACUUUUUGUAAUGAUGGAUUUAACUGGUGAAGUUUCAAGUGGUGCUGUUGAUCUUGCUAAAAAUAAUUUACAAACGAUGCUCACUACUUACUGUAAACAUUAUCCUGGUGAUGAUGCAGACAUGGUUGCAGCUCAAAACAAAGCUGUAAUUGAAGUUGUUCAAGAACUUGUACGACAGCCGACUCAACCAAAUACUUGUGUUAGAGAUCAGA